AAGAGAGCUAUCCGUCGACAGUA
rnacentral:ncRNA from 4 species